UACGUAGGUGGCAAGCGUUGUCCGGAUUUACUGGGCGUAAAGAGCGCGCAGGCGGUCGUUCAAGUCGCGUGUGAAAGCCCCCGGCUCAACUGGGGAGGGUCACGCGAUACUGAUCGACUGGAAGGCAGGAGAGGGUAGUGGAAUUCCCGGUGUAGUGGUGAAAUGCGUAGAUAUCGGGAGGAACACCAGUGGCGAAGGCGGAGACCUGGGCCGAUACUGACGCUGAGGUGCGAAAGCGUGGGGAGCAAACAGG
rnacentral:rRNA from 1 species